rnacentral:misc_RNA from 1 species
AGGACAUAUUUCCCACAUAAACGGUGGUUGAAGUCUGAAGUGCCACUUCAAAUUCAUCUUGUGUUCCAUGAAAUCUUCUAUCCCGAUAAACAGAUAGCUUCGAUGGGUCCUUGAAUAGCGAAGCCAUGAACCCUAGAACAACAAAAUCUUUGCGUUUCGGCGGCAGAGGGCGGCGGAGGUGGACGGAGGCGGCGGCAGCGUGGUGGAUGGAGGCGGCGGCAGAGGGGUGGAUGGAGGCGGCGGCAGAGG